AGCAGCGUAAAGAUACCGGACACGUCGACGUCGUUGGUGGACAGGAGCAUGAGCCUGGAGCAGUGCGAGGCUUUGUGCCGGACGAACUGCUCCUGCAAGGCCUACGCCAGUGCCAACAUCAGUGGAAGUGAGAGCAGCAGCGGGUGCAUCAUAUGGACGACGGAGCUCACCGAUAUCAAAAUGUACGACAGUGGUUCAGGACAAGGUAUCUAUGUCAGGCCGGCGGCUGCCGACCUUGGCUCUGAAGCAAGCCAGUCUCACCGGAAUCAUGUGGUCGUGAUCAUCAUCGUAGUCUCUGCUCUGGCAACCUUUUUCCUACUUUCUGUUGCUUGCUUCGUUUGGAGAAGGAAGAAGAGAAGAAAUCGCUACAUUGACGAAGAAACACACGAACAGGACAUGGACCUACCACUAUAUGAUUUGGACACAAUAGC